CCUACGGGCGGCAGCAGUGGGGAAUAUUGCGCAAUGGGGGCAACCCUGACGCAGCAACGCCGCGUGAUUGAAGAAGGCCUUCGGAUUGUAAAGAUCUUUAAUCGGGGACGAAAUUUGACGGUACCCGAAUAAUAAGCUCCGGCUAACUACGUGCCAGCAGCCGCGGUAAUACGUAGGGAGCAAGCGUUAUCCGGAUUUACUGGGUGUAAAGGGCGUGUAGGCGGGCAGGCAAGCCAGUAGUGAAAUCUCGGGGCUUAACCGCCGAACUGCAUUUGAAACUACGUUUCUUGAGUGAUGGAGAGGAAGGCGGAAUUCCGAGUGUAGCGGUGAAAUGCGUAGAUAUUGGGAGGAACACCAGUGGCGAAGGCGACCGGCUGGACAGUAACUGACGCUGAGGCGCGAAAGCGUGGGGAGCAAACAGGAUUAGAUACCCGUGUAGUC
rnacentral:rRNA from 1 species